UCUACAGUUCCAUGAGGUGCAGAUGGAUCACAUAUACCAGCGAUGCUGGAUCGUGUGCGCAAAAAUCAUCUAGAAAGCACCGAUACAGGAGGGUUUUGAUGGUCGUCCACUACUAAGGACCAUUCUAAUGGAUCAAAUGAUGAGCUCUUGCCACAGUAGAACCAUGGGGGAUGACCACAUUGCAGCAGACCCACCACAUUCAACAUCAACAAGAUAAGCUCUGGCCACAGU